AUUAGGCCUCAUGAGCCACAGCCCGUCCCAGCUCUGUGUGACAUCCACGUGACCCCGGGCAAGUGACUUCAUGCUGCGGGGCUGCAUUUUGACAUCUACAAUGUGGGAGGCAUAAAAUCUACAAUAUACAGCCGCUCUGAGAGGCAAGAAUAGCACCGAGCAUGUGCCCCGUGCCCUAACCAGCACAAGCUGAUUACUGCUCAUUAAUUCUGCUCGUCAGUUAGGAAGGCCCUGGAGGGCUGUCUGUUGGUGAGUAAAGCGGGAAUCUGAGAGCAAUAAAACAACUUCAAAGAGACCUUUGAUUCCGAGGCUCAGUUAUUCAUGGGAGCCUCACCCCUAACGGAUCCAAAUUAAGGGGUGUUUUACUAUUCUGUGUCCCAUGUGCUCAGCCAGGACCAGAAUAGAAGUGAGAGAGGCAAGUGUAAAAAAAUACCCUUCCAGGGAACAGCUGGCCUCACAGCUGGGCAGGCCGGGAAGCAGAACAGGCUCAUUCCACACGGGCUGUCGACAUUCUUCAGGAUGCAACGUCCUUCACACUGACCUCUGGGCAGCACCCCAGGAACAGGGAGGGACGCAGCCUCCUGCCCAGCACCUGUGAUCCUCUGUGAGCUACGCUGCUGCCCCCAGCAAAAAUGAAAAAGAGAUCACAACUGCUAACUGGGAAGAGGUGGGCAGACAUAGCUCUCUGCAGAGAUGAUCCAUGCAGCGCCACCUGCGGCAGGAAGUGAUCGACUGCAGAAUCCCACCUCCUCCAGGAGAAAUGCGAUGGCACACAGCACCCCAGACUAACUCUCUCACGGAAAGUCUCAGCCAGCCCAGGUCUGCUGGGGUGAUGUGCUGGCAGGCAAUUAUUCACCCUGCCCUGCCCUCUAAAAUAGUUCCUGGGCCCCCACAAAGCAGAAGCUGGGGCACAGGAAGCUCUCUGCACACCCGCACGUGACAGCAGUAUUCACAGCAGCCAAAAUGUGGAGGCUACCAUGCUUCCAUGCUCAGAUGAAUGGAUAGAGCCAAGGCGGCCUAUCCAUGCAAUGGAAUGUUAUUCAGCCUCUAAAAGCAGGGAAUCUUUGCACAUGGGACACCAGGCAUGAGCAUGGGGGACACAUGAUCAAAGCCAAUGAGCUAGAGAAUUAAACUGGUCACUCUGAUAAA